AUUUUGACCAAUUCUUUUAAUUUUGUUUAUUUCAGUCUAAUUUGAUAAAUUAUUUGUAAUUUUAGUCAAUUAGUCAAACUUGAAACAAUUAGUCUGAAUUUACGAUGUUGUUGUUACUAUUAUUGAAACAAUAUGAUCUACAACUUGGUCACUGAGCAUUCGAGAAAAAAUAUAGACAGCUAAGAGAAGCAAAUCCCAGAAAAUUCAGAGGGCUAAAGUUGAAGAAACUCAAAGACAGUUCUUUCAAUGAUUUGGUAGCGGAUUGUACAAAGCAAUAAAACUUGGAAUCCAGAAAAACCUGUCUGUGCCAGCGUGAGAUGAAACAUUUUAUACCAAAACUGAAACAUGACAAUUCAGAGCAAAAUCGACAGAGUACUGGACCAAAGAAGAGAAGGGAUAGGGCUGCAAGUGGUCCAACCACCAUGAGCAUCUAUAACAUGGAAUCUAAAGAUAGUUUAAUGAUAGUUUAAAAAAGAAAGAAUAGGAACCAAUGAGUCGAUACCAAUGAUAGAGUUGAACUUCCAGAGGUGUCUCUAUCUACUGGACACUGCUUAUUCUCAUUGCCAAAUUUAUGGGCAUCAAUGAGACUAUGCAGUGGAGGAUUUCAUCAGGAAGCUCAAUAAAGAUCUACAUGGUUGGGAUUUUUGGUGGGGAUGGCUACAGCAAGGAGAAAAAGACACGGAGAUGAGGAAGAGAGAAAGGGGACGAGUGGAGAGAGAGAGAG
rnacentral:misc_RNA from 1 species